rnacentral:rRNA from 1 species
UACGGAGGGAGCUAGCGUUGUUCGGAAUUACUGGGCGUAAAGCGCACGUAGGCGGCUUUGUAAGUUAGAGGUGAAAGCCCGGGGCUCAACCCCGGAAUUGCCUUUAAGACUGCAUCGCUUGAAUCCGGGAGAGGGAUGCGGAAUUCCCGGUGUAGUGGUGAAAUGCGUAGAUAUCGGGAGGAACACCAGAGGCGAAAGCGGCUUUCUGGGCUGUAACUGACGCUGAGGCGCGAAGGCUAGGGGAGCAAACAGG